UGGCGGCGUGCUUAACACNUGCAAGGUCGAACGGGGCGAAGUGAUAGCUUGCUAUUAUGGAGCCUAGUGGCAAACGGGUGAGUAACGCGUAGGCAACCUGCCCUUCAGAUGGGGACAACACCUCGAAAGGGGUGCUAAUACCGAAUGACGUUUCCUGGUCGCAUGACCUGAAAACCAAAGGCCGGGCAACCGGUCACUGAAGGAUGGGCCUGCGUCUGAUUAGCUAGUUGGUGGGGUAACGGCCCACCAAGGCGACGAUCAGUAGCCGGUCUGAGAGGAUGAACGGCCACAUUGGGACUGAGACACGGCCCAAACUCCUACGGGAGGCAGCAGUGGGGAAUCUUCCGCAAUGGGCGCAAGCCUGACGGAGCAACGCCGCGUGAACGAUGACGGCCUUCGGGUCGUAAAGCUCUGUUGAAGGGGACGAAUGUUGCGCUUAUCAACAACGAGCGCAAAUGACGGUACCUUUCGAGGAAGCCACGGCUAACUACGUG
rnacentral:rRNA from 1 species